GUAUAUCUUUUUGCCUUCUUCUUAUUGUUAAUUUCAUUUAAAUGGUUGUUUCUUAUUACUGAAGACUAUCUGCGGAUAUGCCAAAACCAGACAAGGUUCUGAUUGUUGAAAGAGUAAUCGAAUCCUUAGGACUCCAGGCAGUGAGGGAUUCCCUUGUUGGGACAAUAGAGAAGCGAGGUAUAUCUGGAGGACAACGAAAACGUGUAAAUGUAGGGAUGGAAAUGGUUAUGGAGCCAUCAUUAUUAAUCUUAGAUGAACCUACAACUGGCUUAGACAGUGCAUCUUCCACUUUACUGCUUAAAGCACUUCGUCGUGAAGCACUUGAAGGGGUAAAUAUCUGCAUGGUACUUCAUCAACCAAGGUAAGAUCUUCCUCUCCCAUUCUUUUUUUGGGUGAAGUACACAUACUGGCAACAUGUUAGAAAUGGUUUUACAGUAGUGAUGAUGGUUGCCACUGUUAUAAUAUGAAAGUAUUGUAUGUAUACAUUGAAAGUAAAAAAGAAACAUGAGAUGCCUCCUAGACUCUCCAAGAUCUCAUACAACCAGACUCAUCCAAUCAUUGAUAUUUAGAAUAAAAUAUUGAAAUUUGAAUUUGUUUCUCUUAUAAGAAAUGAAACAGGGCAAUAUUGAUGUUUUCCUAUGACUCCAUUGCAGUAAGUAUUGUGAUAGUUUAAGCAACUUAAACUCACACUACAACUGUGGAGUACUAUUGUAGUUGUUAGAAAUCUUACAACAACAGUAUUGCAGUCGCAAUUUAGAACCAUUACAAUCAAUGUAUCUAGAAAAUAAAAAAUGCUCUUUGAAUAGUAUGCCAACAUAGAUAUCUUACUGUGAUUUUGUUGUGAUACAUACAGCUAUACUUUGUUCAGAAUGUUUGAUGAUAUAGUCUUUCUAGCCAAAGGUGGUCUUACUGCAUAUCAUGGUCCUGUUAAGAAAGUAGAAGAAUACUUUGCUGGCAUUGGAAUCAACGUACCGGAUAGAGUGAAUCCUCCCGACCAUUUCAUUGACAUUUUGGAAGGUUUAGUGAAACCAAAUGGUACUGUGACCCAUGAACAACUUCCUGUUAGAUGGAUGUUACAUAACAGUUACCCAGUACCACCAGAUAUGCUUCACUUUGCUGAUGAAAUUGCUGCCGCCUCAACAAAUACCACUGAUGCAAGUGCAACAACAAAGGGCACAGAUGAAGUUGAUGAUCAAUCUUUUGCUGGAGAGUUUUGGGAGGAUAUGAAGAGUAAUGUUCGGAUGCGACGAGAUCAUAUAGAGGCAACCUUCUUAAAGAUUAAGGACUUGUCUAAUCGAAGAACUCCUGGUGUAGCUCGACAAUACAGAUACUACCUGGGACGGUAUGAAUUAUGAAACCGAAGGGUUUAGUAUAGAUACAAUUUCCCUUAGCGAUAACUUACUAGCAAAAUGGAUUUCUAGAUUCUUUUAAUCAAGUUUGUCAUCUUUGUCUACUAUAAUAAGAAAAAAAUUGAAGUUAGAGUUAAUCUUAACAUAUAUAUGAUAUAAUUAGAGUGUUUAGAAUGAAACUUGAAAUCUUAGUUAAUCUGUUUGAUUAAGUUUAGAGUUCACAGUAUAUUUGAACAAAGUGAGUUGUUUCUAGUUUUUGUCCCACAACGUUGGUUAAUUAUUAACUAUUUUUCAUUCUGUUCAGAAUUUGUAAGCAGACACUAAGAGAAGGAAAAUCACAAGCAGUUGACUACCUCCUUUUAUUAGUUGCUGGUGCUAUAUUAGGAACUCUUACUAAAGUAAAUGACGAAACAUUUGGGUCCCUCGGAUAUACCUAUACUGUUAUUGCUGUCUGUAAGUUUCAAAACUCCCUACUAAAUUUGAUUCUUCUUUUUCUUUCUUGGUUAAUUGAAUUUCUAAUUAUAUAUAUUCCUGUAAAAUUUUUGAAUGACUCUAAUCAUAUUAAAACUUCAAUUCUUGCUCCUUUAAAAGAAGAGAAAAACUGGUCUAUUUUUUAUUAAAUUACGAUUUGUCCCUUCCCUCAUUCAUUUGGAACAUUUGCAGCUUUACUUUGCAAGAUUGCAGCUCUCAGAUCAUUUUCUCUGGAUAAAUUACAAUAUUGGAGGGAGAGUGCAUCUGGAAUCAGCAAUCUGGCACAUUUUUUGGCCAAAGAUUCAAUUGAUCUUUUCAAUACAGUCAUAAAACCUGUAGUUUAUCUGUCCAUGUUCUAUUUUUUUAGCAAUCCAAGGUCAAGUUUCGCAAGUAAUUAUGUCAUUUUGCUGUGCCUUGUGUACUGUGUAACUGGCAUGGCAUAUGCAAUAGCAAUUUAUUUUGAGCCUGCUCCAGGACAAUUGGUACGGAUCAUAUAAACAUAUACACAUUUUCAAAUUAUUGAUAAUAUAACUGCAGAUAUGACCUUUUUGUGUUUUCUUAUCACUUGUAGUGGUCAGUGCUUCUCCCAGUUGUUAUGACUCUCAUUGCCAACCAGAAAAAAGACACUCUCUUUAUGAAGAUCCUUGUAAAGUUGUGCUACCCAAAUUGGGCUUUGGAGGCAUUUAUCAUUGCAAAUGCUGAAAGGUCUGUUUCAUUUAGUGAGUUUAUAUUCCCUUUCCUUAUUGACUUUUUAAGUGAAUGCAUUCAUUCAUGCAGAUACAUUUUUUUUCAGCAAUAAUAAAUAAAUAAAAUUAAAACUAGAACACACUGCAUCACUGUUUUCCAAUAUUUGUUCCACAAGUUGCACUAGGACAGUCUAACAGAGUAAUAACAGCUUCUGCAUAUACCACCCCAGAACAGGCUUCAACUCCCAGUUUGUAUGAACUUGAGAAAUCAGUAAAUUUUGUGCCUCUGGUUCCACAGUGUUAAGCUCCCUUCUUUUUUUACUGCAUCCUGUUUCCCUGCAAAACCACAUGCACUGGCAUUUCCCAUCUUUGACAAGCCUAUUAGCUCUGAAUUGUGAUUGAUAUCCAAAAUCCAAAUUGACAGCAUGUUCAAAUUACAAAAUCUAACAUACAGAGCAUAUACAACCUCAACUAGGAAAGCUAGCAGAUAAAUGAUGAAGGUGAAUGAAAAUGUGUUGCACUAGUUCAUCUAGACACGCUUCUUCCCACUUAAAAACUGGUAAGCUACCUAAUUGUUCUAAGGCAAUGUAUGGGCACAAGAACCAAAUCAGAGUAGGAGAAAUUAAUAGCAGGUAGUUUAUUUUUCAUCCAAGUCGAAGCCUUCAACCAAGCCAUAUAAAAUAAUUCCUCCACAUCUACCCUCCCUUCUUUAAAAACUACUCUAUUUCUAUCAUCCUAUAUUCUCCAAUGAUCCUAUAUACUCCAAAUGGUUGCAAUCCACAAUUCCUUCCUCACCAGAUUUUGCUUUUGAAUUAUAUGAAAAAGAUGAAAUUGCUCAAAAUGGCUCAAAGGGUUAUUGCGGAUUCCAACCCAACUAUCGUAUGUGUUCCAAAUUGUAUAUGCUAUCUUAUAGGUAAGAAACAAAUGUUGCACAGUUUCUUCAUGUUGGUGGCAUAAAGGGCAUAUUGUACUACUUAGACAAACCCCUCUCCUAAUUAAAUUCUUCCUUGUGGGCACUUUGCCAAGUAUGACCCUUCACACAAGAAUUUGAGCAUUAGGGAGGGCUUUUGACAGUCCAAAAAGUUUUAAUUUUUUUACUGUUUUCAUUACUGGCAGUGUUCUGUAAUAUGGCACAGGCUGACCUGGUUGACUGUCUCAUCCUCUUCACCUAACCAUCUCCAUGUGUCAUGGUUUUCCCUAUGCAAGAGUACUUCAUUUAUUUCACUCAGCAGUUCUAAUUCUUGUACACUUUCCCAUUCAAACCUACUAUUUCACUCAUCAAGUAUCUGUCCAAUAUCCUACUUUCCCCACGAUUCUCCCUUAACUAGUUGAAAUAGAAUGCAGUUUGGGAAACCUAAGUUUAAAAUUAGAUUCACCUACCCAUUUAUCUUCCCAAAAUCUGACCAAGUUACCUCAUCUUAUUUUCCAAUAUGCAGAGUUAUCAAUCCAGCUUUCAUUUUCUCCUUCUCCACAUACUUUGCCUAAGUUUCUCCACCACCAAUAUACAAAUGAUAACAAAUCUAGAUAUGUACACACUUUUUGGAUGUGUAGGUGUAUAAACUCCAAUAUGGUUCAAAGAUGAAAUAUGAUGUUAAUCUCCCUUAUUUUGUUGUUUACUAUGUUUUGAAUAUUUUUUCAUACCAAAAUGAGAUGAGAAUGUGAUCUUCAACUAAUGUUAACUCAGGAAAAGACUAAACUAAUAAUAUAAAUACAAAAUUAGACAAACUUGAAAACACAGACCCAUUGUAGAGCAUACAUUGUUCAACAACCUUCUAUUCUGACCAUAUAACUCUUUUGGUUUUCUAUUUUUCUUAGGUAUACUGGAGUUUGGUUGAUAACUCGGUGUAGUUCACUAAUGAAUAGUGGCUAUAAUGUGAGAGACUGGCCUAUUUGUUUGGUUGCCCUCGUUUUGUACGGUAUAAUUGCUCGAGUUGUGGCUUUCUUCUGUUUAGUGAUCACUCAGAAGAAGUGAUUUGGGAUAUGCUUGUGAUCCUAAUGUACAAAUCAAAGAUUUUAAGAUGCCAUUGCUAGUAUAUAUAUGUUAUAGCAAUUAGGGAUAGUUUCCAAUUUUUCAGGAGAACACGUGAUGCAAGAUUUAGUCAAACAUUUGAACUUAGCAGUAAGUUGUUUUUAGGUUAUAUGUUGUUGUAACAAUACCUGUUUUUGUGUAAGUAUUUUUUUCUCUGUUAGUCAUUUGUUCACUUGGACAAAUGAGAAUUAGUUUGUGCAGAAAUGUAUAAUAGCCAAAGAUAUUGUCUUAAGCUCGUUAAUCCAAUUGCUCCUUCAAAAAAUAACUACACGUAACUAAACUUGUAUGUUUACUAGUGUACAUGUUUUUUUUAAAUAAUUUAUAUAUAAUAACAACAUAUUAUAUUAUAAAGAAAAUGAGGUUUGGAGAAGUAUUCUGUAUGUUUAUUACGAGCAACUAACAAAAUAAUUAAAAACACAAAUUAAUAUUCUUUUACUUUUAAGUUAAAUUGGUAAUUUUAUAAUUGGUUUUUCUUAAAGAAAAAACAUUGAUCACAUAAAACAUGGUUAAUAUUUAAUUAUGAUAUAUAGAAAUAUGUUGUUUUUUUUUGUUUUUUGAAAUUUAAUGUAAUUUUUUAUCAAGUAAAAUUUUAUUUUAUUUUAAUAUAAUAUUACCUAGUAUUAAUAUUUAAAUAUGAAUAUUUAUAUAUAAUAUUAAAAUUUUAAUUUUAUUGAACAAAAAAUUUUAUAUAUAUAUAUAUAUAUAUACUUUCAUUAAUGAAUUAUUUUAUAAUGAUUAUAGUGGUAACAUCAUCACAAAAAGUAUCUACUUUCCUAUAAAUUCAACAAGGACAUGUAUAAAAGAUUUUAGUAUUUUAAAACGCAACUUUAAACAUGUAUUGGUAUGCGACAAGACCGAGAUGACCGAGACUCGGUCUCCCUGACCGAGCUGAUCGAAACUGAUGAUUUGGUCGACUGACACACUUAACCAUUAAUGCUCAAAUCAAGGUCAGUGAAGCUAAACUAUCAUUAAAAAUUAGGUAAUGCAAUCAUAAGUGUGAUUCAUUCCACUAAUCGGGCCCAAUAAGGUAAGUUCAUUAAAAUAAUAUAAAUAGUGCACAUUCCAAGAAGAAAGAUACGUCAUUAUUAUUGUACACACCCGAGUGCCAAAUACUCUCUUUACUGACUUGAGCGUCGGAGUGCCUUCUCUUGGUACCUCCCCCAUUUGGCAUCCACCCGAGACUAAGAGCCGAAGGAGUAGCGCGAAGACUAGAAGGAUCACAAUGAAGCCUUAGCAACCUGCUCAAAGGAAAGAAGAAGACGGAGCCUUCAAUAGUUCUUUAGGUUUCAUCUCCCUAGCAGGAACAAUUGGCGCUCAACGUGGGGCCAAGAGAAACUAGGUGAAGAGAGGAAAGUAGAUGGUCUCAACCAGAAGCAUGGAAAGGAUGACUGAAGUCGACCAGGCAAUGCUACUGCUUCUCUGCAGAGAUAGAUGGUCGAGAUGAAAAGGAGGACAUAAGAAGUUGUCCAGAAGAACGAACAAGAGAUGCAAUCUCUCCGGAGGGAGAACGAAGAAAUGAAAAAUAAGUUGAUGGAGGGAGGACCGUCCACUGGACCGACCAAUGUUGUCGGCAGGUCAUUCACCUCUCCUCCCAACCCGGGACCGGCGGAGGACACAAGGGACAAAAUUCCCACCCACGAGAUGGAUGGCGAAACCUUCCAUAACAAGUCGACCAAGACGACUGUCACCAUGGACUCGGCCCGCCGACAUCCUUUCACCAAUACUAUCGUUGAAGUUCCACUACCGGACAAGUGGAAGGGUUUCAACCAAGACCGAUAUGACGGGUCUACUGACUCGGACGAGCACAUGGAUGCCUACACCACUCAUAUGAGUCUCUACACCUCAGACAAUGUAGUGUUGUGCCGAGUGUUUCCUACAUCGCUCAAGGGAGCAGCCUUAGCUGGUUUACCAAGCUCCUACCCAAUUCCAUUAGAUUUGCCACACUCGUGGUGAAGUUCGAGACUCAGUUUGCCACCAGCAAGCCGCAUCACCUGACCUCUAUCGCUUCCUAAUGGUUUAGACUUGAGUAGACUGAAAAAAGAUAUACAGCCUUGGCAAGAACGUCGUUCUGCGGAAUAUAUGACUCAUGCUCCUUUAGGUUCCUUAAAUUCCGUGGGUGGCGUAGCUACAGAGAUUAAUGCAGUAAAUUAUGUUUCUCCUAGAAGUUGGUUAGCUACUUCUCAUUUUGUUCUAGGAUUCUUUCUAUUUGUAGGCCAUUUAUGGCACGCGGGAAGAGCUCGCGCAGCUGCCGCAGGAUUUGAAAAAGGAAUUGAUCGCGAUUUUGAACCUGUUCUUUCCAUGACUCCUCUUAAUUGAGACAUGAGAUCCAAUGAAGUAGAAAUCACUUUUCUUUUACUAUAAUUAUUUGGUUGAGUGGAGCGAGGCGUAAAGACGAAUUUCUUUUCCUUUUUUCUGAGUUUCUAUCGAAUCUUUUUUUCGGGAUGAUAUAGCCCAGUCCGAAAAAAAAGAUUCGAUAGAAACUCAGAAAAUAGGA
rnacentral:lncRNA from 1 species